UACAGAGGGGGCAAGCGUUGUUCGGAAUUACUGGGCGUAAAGGGCGCGUAGGCGGCCGUCUAAGUCAGACGUGAAAUCCCCAGGCUCAACCUGGGAACUGCGUCUGAUACUGGACGGCUUGAGUUCGGGAGAGGGAAGUGGAAUUCCAGGUGUAGCGGUGAAAUGCGUAGAUAUCUGGAGGAACACCGGUGGCGAAGGCGGCUUCCUGGACCGACACUGACGCUGAGGCGCGAAAGCCAGGGGAGCAAACGGG
rnacentral:rRNA from 1 species